AUAAAGUUCACCUGCAACAUAGCUCUUAAUACUUUCAGUUUCACUGACACCUGUGUGCUUAUCAAGAGAACACUUUAAAAAAUCCAAAACUGUGUACCUCACCGGUUUUACAGAUGAAUAUGAAACUCUGGAAAAAGUGAUUCACAAAAUACAAACCUUGGACAAUCCAGUAUGCGAUGGAUUUAAUGAAAGAAGAGGAGUGAUAGACAAGAGCACUAUCCCUACUUCGUACGUGUGUGGGUAUGCGCCUUUCUCCGCAGUAAACUGUUUGUGGGAUGACGGGAUGGCGCUCGUGUCUAACGAUACUGGAAU